CAAACCCUGAGACUGGGAUAAGGAUUCAAGGUGCUGCAACCAUUCAUUUACCCAUCACCAUCAAGAGGUCAAGAAGAUCUUACAGGAUUCCAAAGAUCAAUUUAUACUGGGAAAAUACUGCUCAGGGAAGGGAGCAGAGCUUCUUCUCUGAGGCCAAAAGACCAAGAGCUUGCAAUCUAUUCAAGAAUCUUCACAGCUCUUCUUGUCUAGAUGUCUUCAAAGAGGCCCUGGAUCAUUGGAUGUGACUGGUUCAGUGAUAUUUCAUGCAACUGAAAGCACAGGAAAAAAAAACUGCUGCUCAAGAAGACUCAUGGUGACACAAAGUUGGGCAUCCCAGGCAGCCGAUCGGGCUCCUGGACACCUGCUGCCCAUCAAGGUCAGCUUGUGCUCUGAGAGGGAGGUGUUGGUCCUGGCUCCUGACAUCAGCCUGGAU